rnacentral:lncRNA from 1 species
AAAAUUUAGAGUUUUUGGAUUUUGGGUGACUUUGGUCAAUGUUGACCAAAAAGUCAACUGUUGACCAAAGUCAACAAUUGGUCAAAAAUUGUCAAGACUUGUAUUUUCUUGUGUAGAAUCAAAUGUAAUGGUUUAGAAUGAUGUGAAAUGAAUUGAAAUGGUUUGAAAUUUGAUUUGAAAUUUGGUUUUACCAUUGAUUUAUUUAGGACUUGGAUGCCUGACUUUGAAAAAGAAAAUAACUUGACUGACAAUAUAGGUUAACAAGGCCAUGAAAUGAGGGCACAAGAUUAGGGUUUUGACAUAGUAUCCAUGAACCAAUAACAUGACUAGCAAGUGGCUUGAAACACAAGAAGCUCGGUUGUUCAGAUGACCCAGACCAUAGAUGUAUCCACAAUCACAUGAACAACACCAUGACUUUGGACCAAGACCAAUCCAAGCAUGUUAAACAACAAAUAAAAAC